GCGCCUGUAGCUCAGACGGAUAGAGCGCUGCCCUCCGGAGGCAGAGGUAGCAGGUUCGAAUCCUGUCGGGUGCGCCA
rnacentral:tRNA from 1 species